rnacentral:rRNA from 1 species
UACGGAGGGUGCAAGCAUUAAUCGGAUUUAUUGGGCGUAAAGGGCGCGUAGGCGGGUUGGCAAGUUACGUGUGAAAUGCUAGAGCUUAACUCUAGUGCGGCGCGUAAAACUGCCAGUCUUGAGGGUAGAUAGGGAAAAUGGAAUUCCACGUGUAGCGGUAAAAUGCGUAGAUAUGUGGAGGAACACCGGAGGCGAAGGCGGUUUUCUGGUCUAUUACUGACGCUGAGGCGCGAGAGCAAGGGGAG